UUUAAUCGACUUUCCACUGGAAAAAAAAAAAAAAAAAAGCAGGAGGCUGCAGGAGAGCUGGGCUUUCAGAUAAAGCGGGCGAAGCUGUCAUCAAAUAGGCUUGGGAAUCAAGAAAAAAAUGCUCCCCCAGCAAGAAAUCAGAUAAGGUCAAAGCCCCUUUGGGAUGGAUGCUGAGUUUCAAGAGACUUUGACUUCAAUGAGUGGCCGCAAGUGAAGAGGAGGCUUGGAAAGAAGCAGCAACGUUUCCAGGGAUGCCAAAGCCUUGGUUUGACUUUUUCUUUGUCUGGAGCCUGGGGCUAAGCAUGGAGCACACCCAGCCAUUUAGCCAGUGAGAUCUGCAAGGCUUCUGCACAAAGUGUGCUUCCUUCUCCAAUGCCAUCACUUGAAAUUGAGCGUGAACUUGUACAGAGCCCGGCUCCCCUCUGGCACCGCUCUCGGAGCGCCGCUGGCCGCUCUGCAGCAAACCAAGGCAGCCCAGGUCCUCCCAGCCCACUUGGAUCCGCUUUCCCCACAUCCUGCAGUGUGCCGUAGCUCUGGAAGAUGACCAGAACCCAGUUAAAAACUCACUCAAGCCAAUGCAAAUCUCUUGCUCGCUCCAGCAGGCUCUGGUGAGGCUUGUGCUGAAGGCACGGGGUUUUUGCUGCUUUUGAGGAUUAUCAAAGCCAUAACCCGGUUUCCUUACACGCUGAAAACAACAAAACACAAAUGUUCCUGAAAAACGAAUCCAUCCGGGCUGUGAACAUGGGCACACAACAGCUGCAGCUGGCUUGGAGCACAGGCACACAGCAGGGCACUGCAGGCACGCAGGAGAAGUCAGGUCCACGGGACCCAAUUUACGGCCUCCUCCUUGCAGCACCAAGUGCCCGCUUCCAUGGGCGAUCUGUGCAGCCAGGUUACACCUCAGCCGGUCUCUGUAUAUGUGUUUUUAUUAACCUGACCUUUUCAAGCUGUU